rnacentral:rRNA from 1 species
AUUGAACGCUGGCGGCAGGCCUAACACAUGCAAGUCGAGCGGAGCGGCAGACGGGUGAGUAAUGCCUAGGACUCUGCCUGGUAGUGGGGGAUAACGUCCGGAAACGGGCGCUAAUACCGCAUCCUCUCCGCUGAGCCUAGGUCGGAUUAGCUAGUUGGUGGGUUAAAGGCCUACCAAGGCGACGAUCCGUCCCUGGUCUGAGAGGAUGACCAGCCACACUGGAACUGAGACACGGUCCAGACUCCUACGGGAGGCAGCAGUGGGGAAUAUUGCACAAUGGGCGCAAGCCUGAUGCAGCCAUGCCGGGUGUAUGAAGAAGGCCUUCGGGUUGUAAAGUACUUUCAGCGGGGAGGCGUUACCCGCAGAAGAAGCACCGGCUAACUCCGUGCCAGCAGCCGCGGUAAUUC